UACGUGCUUCUCUCACCACCACCGACAGCAAUCCCAGCAACCACCAAGCUCUCGACUGCCGGCAACCAAUCACCAGACCACCGGUCGCCCUUCGCCGUACCCUCUGUAUCGCCGCCGCCGAAAGGACCAGCCACCGCCCUCCUUCAUCUCUCCACUUGUUGCUUCUCUGUUUCUUGCUCAGCCACGUGCAACCACCACCGCGACCACCUGCAGCCACCUGCUGCGUCGCCUAGCUCCGCGACCGCCCAGCUCUCUCCGCCGCUCAACUCCCUCGCUGCCGCCGCCCCUGCCGCCGGCCAGCUCUCUCUCUCUUCUCUUUUGGAGGAGAAUUCUCUUUAGGCGACUUUUGAAUUCGUUAAAGUGGCCUAUCAGUUUGUUUACACAAGUCUCUAAGGAUCAAUAAGCAUUGUCCAUCUGCAGGUUUGAAGAUGUUGCAUCAUUGGGAUCGGGAAUAGAGAGCUUGUAUUUAGUUUUGAUUUGCUAAGUUGACUUGGGUUUGUUUAAAUGGACUUUAAACUUGUCAUACUAUUUAUAUUUCCUUAUUUUCGUUGGUUGAUUUUGAGACUAAACCUGUAAUCGAUUAUUUAUAAACCUAAAGUUAGUUUUAUGUUUUCCGCUGCAAAAUUCUGAAUAAGCCG